GCUCUAGUAUUCACUCCAAUACACAUGGGUUGAGGGUGAUUGGGGUGUAAAUUAAACUAAUUUACACCCCAAUUCUACUCAACCCAUGUGUAUUGGGAUGAAUACUAGA
rfam:Zea mays cultivar B73 chromosome 3, whole genome shotgun sequence.